GACGAACGCUGGCGGCGUGCUUAACACAUGCAAGUCGAACGGAAAGGCCCUGCUUUUGUGGGGUUCUCGAGUGGCGAACGGGUGAGUAACACGUGAGUAACCUGCCCUUGACUUUGGGAUAACUUCAGGAAACUGGGGCUAAUACCGGAUAGGAGCUCCUGCUGCAUGGUGGGGGUUGGAAAGUUUCGGCGGUUGGGGAUGGACUCGCGGCUUAUCAGCUUGUUGGUGGGGUUGGGGCUUACCAAGGCUUUGAAGGGUAGCCGGCCUGAGAGGGUGAACGGCCACAUUGGGACUGCGAUACGGACCAGACUCCUACGGGAGGCAGCAGUGGGGAAUAUUGCACAAUGGGCGGAAGCCUGAUGCAGCAACGCCGCGUGCGGGAUGACGGCCUUCGGGUUGUAAACCGCUUUCGCCUGUGACGAAGCGUGAGUGACGGUAAUGGGUAAAGAAGCACCGGCUAACUACGUG
rnacentral:rRNA from 1 species